rnacentral:rRNA from 1 species
UUUGACCUCAAAUCAGGUAGGACUACCCGCUGAACUUAAGCAUAUCAAUAAGCGGAGGAAAAGAAACUAACAAGGAUUCCCCUAGUAACGGCGAGUGAAGAGGGAAAAGCUCAAAUUUGAAAUCUGGCAGUCUACGGCUGUCCGAGUUGUAAUCUAGAGAAGUGUUUUCCGUGCUGGACCGUGUACAAGUCCUUUGGAACAAGGCGUCAUAGAGGGUGAGAAUCCCGUCUACGACACGGACUACCAGUGCUCUGUGAUACACUCUCAACGAGUCGAGUUGUUUGGGAAUGCAGCUCAAAAUGGGUGGUAAAUUCCAUCUAAAGCUAAAUACAGGCGAAAGACCGAUAGCGAACAAGUACCGUGAGGGAAAGAUGAAAAGCACUUUGGAAAGAGAGUUAAACAGUACGUGAAAUUGUUGAAAGGGAAACGCUUGAAGUCAGUCGCGUCUUCAGAAAUUCAGCCUGGCUUUUGCCUGGUGUACUUUUCUGUUGGACGGGCCAGCAUCAGUUUUGGCCGCCAGAAAAAGGUGGGAGGAAGGUGGCACCUCCGGGUGUGUUAUAGCCUCUCAUCGUAUGUGGCGGCUGGGACUGAGGACCGCAGCACGCCUUUAAUGGCCGGGGUUCGCCCACGUAACGUGCUUAGGAUGCUGGCGUAAUGGCUUUAAACGACCCGUCUUGAAACACGGACCAAGGAGUCUAACAUGCCUGCGAGUAUUUGGGUGGUAAACCCAUAUGCGGAAUGAAAGUGAACGGUUGGGACUUCUGUCAUGGAAGGCACCGACGCCCGGACCAGACCUAUUGUGACGGAUCCGAGGUAGAGCAUGUAUGUUGGGACCCGAAAGAUGGUGAACUAUGCCUGAGUAGGGUGAAGCCAGAGG